rnacentral:lncRNA from 1 species
CUUUCUCCACAUGUCUAGUUUCCCCCCAUUUUCCCCACACAGCCAGGAAACUAGGAAGCCGAGGGCUCAGCCAAGUCUUAGGGGCUGCUGCUGCUGAGGGGUAAGGGUCAAGGGCGGCCAGGGCGAGGGGUUGCCCAUGCCACUCUCGGUUGCCCCUGGGUCACACGGCACAGCCUCAGCUUCUCGCCUUGCAGCUGCUGCCCUCGGGUGAAAAGAGGAAAGAUGUGUUCCUUCUUGGGGACAGGGGACAGCCUUGGCCCUCAGCUUUUCUCCCCUCCCUGUCCCUUCCAGCUCCGCCUGUCUCCGAGCUGACCGCAGACAUCCAGCACCAUCCACGGGUUCAGAUGCACAACAGGAGACAAAGCGAGAGCUGGAACAGGCCCAAGGUAAGCUGUCCCCAGUGGACCCAUUUUCUGGCCUCAGGAAGAGGCCUGUUUGUGUCCCAGGCCCAUCCUCUGACUGCAUGGAUGUCAUUGGCCUUCUUCUCCGUAAGAGAUCUCCCCAAGCUUCGCCAGCCCCCAGACUCCAAGCCCCUCCCACAUCCACCUCCCGGUUCCUGAAUGGGCUCGCAGAGGCCAGGCCCAGGGGGGACCCUCUGGAAGGUGUGGAUCCUGCAUUCCUCCAUGCGUGGACUUGGACCCAGCUCUCCUGCUCUCCAGUUCACAAGGCUCUGCAGGUCCCUGAGAACUGGCCACUCCAUCUACACCUAAGAUGCCAGAAAGGAAGUAAAGAAAGAGAAUAAUGAAAAGCAGGAUCCUGGAGGGGAUGAAGCUGCUUACCAUGGUCAAGAAAGGCUUUGUGUCUGAUGAAUGGAUAAAGAAGAUGCGGUGUAUAUAUACAAUGGAAUACUACCCAGCCAUAAGAAAGACAAAAUCGUCCCAUUGGCAACGACAUAGAUGGACCUUGAGGGUAUGGUGUUAAGCAAAAUAAGCCAGGCAGAGAAAGACAAAUAUUGCAUCACUUCACUCAUAUGUGGAAGAUAUACACUUCCAUAUGUGGAAGUCUAUACAGAAACUGGUAAAUCACAAUGUACCCCUGAAAUUAUACAGUGUUAUAAACCAUUAAGAUCUCAAUAAUAAUAAUAAUAAUAAAAUAAUUGAAACAAAAAAAAAGAAGAAAGAA